rnacentral:rRNA from 1 species
GACGAACGCUGGCGGCGUGCUUAACACAUGCAAGUCGAGCGGUAAGGCCCUUUCGGGGGUACACGAGCGGCGAACGGGUGAGUAACACGUGGGUGACCUGCCCUCAGCUCUGGGAUAAGCCUGGGAAACUGGGUCUAAUACCGGAUAUGACUCCAUGACGCAUGUUGUGGGGUGGAAAGCCUUGUGCGGCUGAGGAUGGGCCCGCGGCCUAUCAGCUUGUUGGUGGGGGAUGGCCUACCAAGGCGACGACGGGUAGCCGGCCUGAGAGGGCGACCGGCCACACUGGGACUGAGACACGGCCCAGACUCCUACGGGAGGCAGCAGUGGGGAAUCUUGCGCAAUGGGCGAAAGCCUGACGCAGCGACGCCGCGUGAGGGAUGACGGCCUGG